UACAGAGGUCCCGAGCGUUGUUCGGAUUUAUUGGGCGUAAAGGGUGCGUAGGCGGCGGAGUAAGUUGGGUGUGAAAUCCCGAGGCUCAACCUCGGAAUUGCAUUCAAUACUGCUUCGCUCGAGUACUGGAGAGGAGGCUGGAAUUUACGGUGUAGCAGUGAAAUGCGUAGAUAUCGUAAGGAAGGCCGGUGGCGAAAGCGAGCCUCUGGACAGUUACUGACGCUGAUGCACGAAGGCCAGAGGAGCAAACGGG
rnacentral:rRNA from 1 species